rnacentral:rRNA from 1 species
GACGAACGCUGGCGGCGUGCUUAACACAUGCAAGUCGAACGGAAAGGCCCUGCUUUUGUGGGGUGCUCGAGUGGCGAACGGGUGCGUAACACGUGAGUAACCUGCCCUUGACUUUGGGAUAACUUCAGGAAACUGGGGCUAAUACCGGAUAGGAGCUCCUGCUGCAUGGUGGGGGUUGGAAAGUUUCGGCGGUUGGGGAUGGACUCGCGGCUUAUCAGCUUGUUGGUGGGGUAGUGGCUUACCAAGGCUUUGACGGGUAGCCGGCCUGAGAGGGUGACCGGCCACAGUGGGACUGAGAUACGGCCCAGACUCCUACGGGAGGCAGCAGUGGGGAAUAUUGCAAAAUGGGCGGAAGCCUGAUGCAGCAACGCCGCGUGCGGGAUGACGGCCUUCGGGUUGUAAACCGCUUUCGCCUGUGACGAAGCGUGAGUGACGGUAAUGGGUAAAGAAGCACCGGCUAACUACGUG